rnacentral:rRNA from 1 species
GACGAACCGUCCAAACGUUAUUCGGAAUUACUGGGCUUAAAGGGUGCGUAGGCGGUCCUGUAAGUUGGGUGUGAAAGACCUCGGCCUAACCGAGGAAUUGCGCCCAAAACUGCCGGACUCGAGUAAGGCAGAGGUGAACGGAACUAAGGGUGGAGCGGUGAAAUGCGUUGAUAUCCUUAGGAACACCAGUAGCGAAAGCGGUUCACUGGGCCUUUACUGACGCUGAUGCACGAAAGCCAGGGGAGCGAACGGG